GUUGAAACACCAAUUCUCAUAUGAUCACCAAAGUUAAGCAACAUCAAGCCUCAUCAGUACCAAGAUGAGUGACUGUUUGGGAAUACCUGGUGCAGUA